rnacentral:rRNA from 1 species
UUUAAUUGAAGAGUUUGAUCAUGGCUCAGAUUGAACGCUGGCGGCAGGCUUAACACAUGCAAGUCGAGCGGCAGCACAGAGGAACUUGUUCCUUGGGUGGCGAGCGGCGGACGGGUGAGUAAUGCCUGGGAAAUUGC